AAAAUGGAGGUUUUGGUUAGCUGCCUGCUCUCUGGCCUCAAGUGAUUGCUUCCUACACCGGCUGCCCCAAUGAUAUAACAGACAAGAGGAGGAGCAAGACCUGGGUGUGUUUGUUGAUCACAGUAGGACCGUGAGCCAUGUGACGCUGCAGUUAAAAAGGCAAAUGUGAGCACAGUGUGCAUCAGUGAAGCACAUCAAAGCUACCUUACAGAGUAUUGAAGAAGUGUCCAUCCAAAGCCAGAGGGGGUGUGAGGACAAUGACCUUUCCCAGCACAGUGCCUUUGUGUGUCUAGCUCAGCCAAUUUCCAGCACACUCACUGCAGGUGGCUCUGGCGCUCGAAUGAAAAUCCAGCUGCUCUCUCUGGCUGUGUUUGAAGCUACAUUCAGGGGCGCACACGAUCCUGCAAAUCAGGCAUCCCGAGUCUGUGCGUUCAAGGCAAUGUGGAAAUGGAAGGUGAGAGAGGCUGUUCUGCAGCUGCCUCAGCUAGUUCAAGUUCCUCUUCAGUAACGGGGGAGAAGAGGUUUUGUUCUUGGAGCUGGGAAUGGGACACACCUUUCCUCGGUGCAUUUGGGUGGGGAGCUGCUUUUGACCCACCCAUGUCCCUGGAGGAGGGUUGGAGCCCAAGUCACUCCCUGUGGAUGGUGCUGGAGAUAAGCUCCUUCACCUGGCAUGUUGUCUGUGCAAUCAUUCCCAGCUGCU